UACGUAGGGUGCGAGCGUUUGUCCGGAAUUAUUGGGCGUAAAGAGCUCGUAGGCGGUUUGUUGCGUCGGGAGUGAAAACUUACAGCUUAACUGUGAGCGUGCUUCCGAUACGGGCAGACUUGAGGUAUUCAGGGGAGAACGGAAUUCCUGGUGUAGCGGUGAAAUGCGCAGAUAUCAGGAGGAACACCGGUGGCGAAGGCGGUUCUCUGGGAAUAUCCUGACGCUGAGGAGCGAAAGUGUGGGGAGCGAACAGG
rnacentral:rRNA from 1 species